rnacentral:rRNA from 1 species
UCGGGAAUUUUGGGCAAUGGGGGAAACCCUGACCCAGCAACGCCGCGUGAAGGAUGAAGUAUUUCGGUAUGUAAACUUCGAAAGAAUAGGAAGAAUAAAUGACGGUACUAUUUAUAAGGUCCGGCUAACUACGUGCCAGCAGCCGCGGUAAUACGUAGGGACCAAGCGUUGUUCGGAUUUACUGGGCGUAAAGGGCGCGUAGGCGGCAUGACAAGUCACUUGUGAAAUCUCUGGGCUUAACCCAGAACGGCCAAGUGAUACUGUCGCGCUAGAGUGCAGAAGGGGCAAUCGGAAUUCUUGGUGUAGCGGUGAAAUGCGUAGAUAUCAAGAGGAACACCUGAGGUGAAGACGGGUUGCUGGGCUGACACUGACGCUGAGGCGCGAAAGCCAGGGGAGCAAACGGGAUUAGGAUACCCACGUAGUCCCUGAGCGGGCUGGCAAGGCGCAU